rnacentral:tRNA from 1 species
AAGGUUUUAAGUUAAAUAAACUAAUAGCCUUCAAAGCUAUAAAUAAAUUUUUAUUUAAACCUUA